CAAUAGCGUAUAUUAAAGUUGUUGCGGUAAAAAAGCUCGUAGUUGGAUUUCUGUUGAGAACGACCGGUCCGCUCAACGAGUGUGUAUCUGGUUCGGUCUCGGCAUCCUCUCGUAGGACGAAUGCGCUUUAUUGCGUGAUCGGACUCCGGGACUUUUACUUUGAGGAAAUUAGAGUGUUCACGGCAGGCUUACGCCAGAAUACAUUAGCAUGGAAUAAUACUAUAGGAUCUCGGUCCUAUUUUGUUGGUUUCUAGGAAAGAGAUAAUGAUUAAUAGGGACAGUUGGGGGCAUUCGUAUCAACACGUCAGAGGUGGAAUUCUUGGAUUGUGUUGCGACGAACUACUGCGAAAGCAUUUGCCAAGGAUGUUUNCAUUGA
rnacentral:rRNA from 1 species